rnacentral:rRNA from 1 species
CAAAGGGAGCAAUCCCGGCCACGGAUGGGCAUGCGGCGCAUUAGCUAGUCGGCGGGGUAACGGCCCACCGAGGCGACGAUGCGUAGGGGUUCUGAGAGGAAGGCCCCCCACACUGGUACUGAGACACGGACCAGACUCCUACGGGAGGCAGCAGUGAGGAAUAUUGGUCAAUGGGCGCGAGCCUGAACCAGCCAAGUCGCGUGAGGGAGGACGGCCCUACGGGUUGUAAACCUCUUUUGCCGGGGAGCAACGGGCGCCACGUGUGGCGCCACUGAGAGUACCCGGAGAAAAAGCAUCGGCUAACUCCGUGCCAGCAGCCGCGGUAAUACGGAGGAUGCGAGCGUUAUCCGGAUUUAUUGGGUUUAAAGGGUGCGUAGGCGGAUCGUUAAGUCAGUGGUCAAAUUGAGGGGCUCAACCCCUUCCCGCCAUUGAAACUGGCGAUCUUGAGUGGAAGAGAAGUAUGCGGAAUGCGUGGUGUAGCGGUGAAAUGCAUAGAUAUCACGCAGAACCCCGAUUGCGAAGGCAGCAUGCCGGCUUCCGACUGACGCUGAAGCACGAAAGCGUGGGGAUCGAACAGGAUUAGAUACCCUGGUAGUCCACGCGGUAAACGAUGAGCGCUAGGUGUCCGGGGGGAAUGGCCCCUGG